rnacentral:tRNA from 1 species
GCAGUCGUGGCCGAGUGGAUAAGGCGAUAGAUUAGAAAUCCAUUGGCGUCUCCCCGCACAACAUUCAACCAACAACAUUUGAUAAACAACGUGCGCGACGUGCUCGUUGUUGACAGGUUAGAAUCCUGUCAACUGCG